CGUAGCGAGAGAACGUUGCCGCAGGCAACGGCCCGAAGGGCGAGGCGCUUUAGCGCCGAGUCAUCCUUCCCCCACCACCA
rnacentral:sRNA from 1 species